rnacentral:lncRNA from 1 species
UAGAUUGUCAUUCACAAUAAAUAGAGUUUCACAGCAACAUAGAUCAAUUAAGGUUACAAAGAAUCAUCUCAGACCUAAUCAAAGGAAAUUAGCUAGACAUGAUUAAAAUAAUAAACAACAUAGUAAAGAAAAUAAACCGAUAGAGUUCCGUCGUUGCCGUCGGCCUUGCUCCCGGUUACUUUUCAAUCGCUACUGUUCUUUCUUAUUCUUUUUCCAUAUCAUGUGCUCGUAUUUCUUUUUCUCCCGUAGCUUGAAUGAGCGGCUCCUUUUCUUUUUCCAAAACGUAAAUUGUGAUUCCUC